AUUGAACGCUGGCGGCAGGCCUAACACAUGCAAGUCGAGCGAGCGGCGGACGGGUGAGUAAUGUCUGGGAAACUGCCUGCUGGAGGGGGAUAACUACUGGAAACGGUAGCUAAUACCGCAUACCAUCAGAUGUGCACAGAUGGGAUUAGCUAGUAGGUGGGGUAAAGGCCUACCAAGGCGACGAUCCGUAACUGGUCGUAGAGGAUGAUCAGUCCCCCUGGAACUGAGACACGGUCCAGACUCCACCCAUACCCACCAUUAUAAAAUAUUAUGAAAUGCACGAAAGCCUGAUCCAGCCAUGCCGCGUGUGUGAAGAAUUUCUUCGGAUUUUAAUGCACUUUAAGUUGGGAGGCGUUACCAACAGAAUAAGCACCGGCUAACUUCGUGCCAGCCGCCGCGGUAAUAC
rnacentral:rRNA from 1 species